AACGUUUUAGUGGAACAUUUAUCUCUCAGAAAGUGCAGUAUUUGGUAUACGACUGCGUAAGAAGAUAGGCCAGAAACCGAAGGAAACCUGUAGCCUAAGCAGUCGAAGAAUGAACUAUAUUGAGGGAUCGUCCGUAGAUAUCCUUUUGGUGCCCGAUAAGAAGUACUUUGUUCAGU